AACAAUAUAUAAGCCACCGAUAUUAUUUCUCAAAGGUUUCAACGCUUCCUCCGAUUGGCGGCGUUAAUCACCACUCACUCACCGAGUCACAAAUCAAUCCAACUCGUACGGAUCUACUCAUCUCAUCUCCCCUUAUCUCAUGGCCGGCGAUCACGACGAGCCUUCCGGCGUCAAACACGGGCGCAAUUCCGAUACUGAUUCGGAGCAGCCGUCGAAGCGCCACCGUCGCCAUCACCAUCGCCGCCACAGGCACCGACGGAGUCGUAAUUACUCCGAAAAAGAAGCCGAAAUCGAAGAGAAAGCUGAAUCGCCGGUGAAGAUAGGUCCGGUAGAUGAUGAGGUGGAAGAAGGUGAGAUUCUCGAGGAAGACGAGGAGUUUGUUGCGGAGAAGAGGCGAUUGGAGUCGUCUGACGUGGAGUCUGGUGAAAUUAAGGGUUUCGAUGCUGAUCGGGAUCAGGAGGCACUUCGAGAACUUGGUGGUUCUACUUGUGAAGGUCAAAACAUUGAAAAAGUUGGCAGUCGUUUCAUGAUGUUAGGAGUGGAUGAAGUUGCUGUUGGUGACGGUGCUGUUGCAGCAUUAAGUAAAAGGACUAUUAAUGGCAAGACUAAAAUGUGUGAUGAGAUUGAUGUGCAAAGAGAUUCAAGUGUUGAACGUUAUGGCAGCGUUGAUAUUAGCAAGGAGAGAUGCAGCAAAUCUCCACGAUCUUCAUCUCCUGAAGGAUUGGGAAAGCGGAAGGGAUACUACGUAGGUGAUAGUGAACGUAGAAGACGAAAAAUGUUUUCCAGUGUAGAUGAAGGGGAUAGGCAUAUGUUUACGGGAAGGCCAGCCUUGCCUGGAAGAUUUCGCGAAGAGGAUCGCCGUAGCAGUAGAUCAAGAUCUCCUGAUCGAGCAAAAGAAAAGUCACAAUCCCAAAGCAUAGUUGGAGAGCCUUCUCAUUUGCAAGUACAACAAUUUAAUGUUGCGAGUAACAGGGGGAACAGACUUCCAAAGAAUUCUGAUGAUGAAACAAUAAGUAGAUAUGAUAAUGAAUACCGGCAUGGCAGCAGAGAUUUGGAUGAAAGGGACUACAGUUCUACUAAUAGGAGGCAUACAACUCGAGAGGAUAGAUACCAGAGUUCAGAUAGCCAGACCAGGUUUAGGGGUAAGAGCCGUGAAAUAUGGGAUCGAGAAAUGCAGCAUAGGGAUAGACCUCGGGGAAAGGAUUGGGAGAAGGUCCAAGAAAGAGCUAGAGAGAGAGAUAUAAACCAAAAAAGUGAGAGAGAGCAGGAAAGAGAAAGGAGAAGAGAAACAGAAAGGGAUAGUGAUAGGAGGGAUUGGGACCAGGAUAUUAUUAAGGAAAAAGCGUAUGACAAAUAUACAGGGUACCGUAAGCAUUCUGAUGCUAAUACUGGUUAUGCUGACAGGAAUUAUACAGAUUACAGGCAUCGAAAAACUGAUGAAACAGACAACUGGGGCAAAGCGAAAAGAAGUGAUGCAGAAAACUUUCAGAGUUCUAAGAUUGACAACACAGAUGAAGAUGUAGAGAAAGAGAGCAGAGAUGAACUUGAACAAGAAAACUUUCAAGAAAACACUGUGUUGCAGCCUGCAGAAAAGGAAGAGGAAGAGAUUGAUAGAAUUAAAGAGGAGAGUCGAAAGAGAAAGCAAGCUAUCCUUGAAAAAUUUAAGAGGCAACAAAAGCCCGAAGCCACAAAGGAGAUUAAUGCAAAAACAUCUCUAUCAGAUGAAGAAACUCGAAGUGCCCAGGAUGAUGAGAAAUUGUUUUCUGUGGAAAAAUUUCCUGAACAAAUAGUGCCUCCUGCCAUAAAAGUUGCUGGCUCUGGAGCAUUGGGUGGGGGUACCCCAAAGAGUGAGGGAUCUGAUGAUAUGUUCCGUGAUGAUAUAUUUGGAGACUCUCCUGCUGGAGUACGCAAAUUGGAGAAAGGAGAUUGUUUACCUGUUAAAAGUAGUGGCGUUAACGAUAAUUGGGAUGAUGCAGAGGGGUAUUACAGCUAUCGCAUUGGAGAAGUACUAGAUGGCCGAUAUGAAGUUAUUGCUGCUCAUGGUAAAGGUGUAUUUUCAACUGUAGUGCGGGCGAAGGAUCUUAAGGCUGGUUUUGGUGAUCCAGAAGAGGUGGCAAUCAAAAUAAUACGGAAUAAUGACAUAAUGUAUAAGGCAGGCCUGGAAGAGCUGGUCAUAUUAAAGAAGUUGGUUGCUGCUGACAAGGAAGACAAAAGACACUGUGUUCGCUUUAUAUCUAGCUUUAAGUUUCGAUACCAUCUUUGUUUGGUCUUUGAAUCUCUUCACAUGAAUCUUCGCGAGGUUCUUAAGAAGUUUGGGCGAAAUAUCGGACUUAAACUGACUGCAGUUAGGACAUACGCAAAGCAGCUUUUUAUUGCACUGAAGCAUCUUAGAAACUGUGGUGUACUUCACUGUGAUAUUAAGCCAGAUAAUAUGCUGGUAAAUGAUGCAAAAAAUGUGCUGAAGCUUUGUGACUUUGGUAAUGCUAUGUUUGCUGGCAAAAACGAAGUAACACCAUAUCUUGUUAGUCGCUUCUAUCGUGCCCCAGAGAUAAUUCUUGGUUUGCAGUAUGACCAUCCUAUGGAUAUUUGGUCAGUUGGGUGUUGUUUAUAUGAAAUCUAUACUGGAAAAGUUCUUUUUCCCGGUCCUUCAAACAAUGACAUGCUUCGCCUUCACAUGGAAUUGAAAGGUCCUUUUUCCAAGAAGAUGCUUAGAAAGGGAGCUUUUAUAGAUAAUCACUUUGACCAGGAUCUUAACUUCAUUGCUACAGAAGAGGAUCCUGUUACAAAGAAGACAAUUACGAGACUUGUUCUUAACAUCAAGCCAAAGGAUAUUGGUAGUAUAAUUUUCGGAUCUGCUGGAGAUGACCCAAAGAUGUUAUCCAACUUCAAGGACCUUCUUGACAAAAUAUUUGCUUUAGAUCCAGAUAAGAGGAUCACAGUGUCACAGGCACUGGCCCAUCCAUUCAUAACGGGCAAGUGAACAGUGUUGCUGAUUUUCUGACUCAAAGAAUGAUGUUGCACUAAAUAAAUGUAUAUUAUGAUCCAAUUCACAUUUAGAUCACUAAUAUUGAGAAUCUGUCUUUAUCUUCCUUUUGUUGCUCGGAAAGCUAUGGAAAGGGAUCCCUUUGCCUCUUGAAAUCUGCAGACAAGAUGGUGUUUGGCCAGGGGAACUCUUGGGUGGAGGUUCUUUCAAUCGAGUUUGUUCUAUUGAUAUCUGCCAGGGUAUGAAGCUACCAUCUCGUACUUCAGAUGCUUAAAAGGCACUCUGGGAGAAGGUACCUUGGUUGUUUUCUAGGAGUCUGUUAUGUAGUAACUUUCUUAAGUAUAGUAUGCAUAUUAUAUAUGUGCUGAAGUUAGUAGCUCUCUCUUAUAUGGAUCAUUUUGGUUGGAGAGACUGUGCAACACUUUAUUUUUUUGUUUUGCACUAUUGCAUUUGUAGGUAACAGAGUAAAUCAACCUGUAUGCUGUUUUUUAACCUGGCUUUCAAUAUCUGUUUUAAGCCAUUUCUGCUUGAUGAUUUAUGUGGUGCAUGUUCACACACUAAGACGCAGUCGCAGACACAUAUCCAAACACAUAAACAGACACAUGCAAAUAAAAAUGAUACACAUUUAUUUGAUUAAUUGUGACUCAACUACUUGACAACAACACACAUAUGAUGUGCACCUUUGAGAAGCUACUUUAUUAAUGGGUUAUUCGAUUGAUUUCCCGGAUGUGUUUAUUAUUUAAACGUGCCAUUAGGAAUGUAUGUAGACUAAUAAAUGUACAUUGUAUCUGAUCCAUGGUCAUCUGGGAUUAUCGCAUGGGAUGCGGAAUGCUGAGGAUUUCAUUUGGAGUGUGAUCUAAGUUACAUUGCCUUGCACUUCUAUUGCCUCCUGUAAGUACACUCAGUUUCUAUUGUUAAGAUAAUUCUCAUUUUUGCAUGUAUUUGUAAGUCUCAUUGUUUAUCUUCGUAGUAACUUUAUAUCGUUUAGAUGCUUCAUACAGAAAGAAAGGUUGCUGUUGUCCAUGGUUUGUUUGUUACUGCCGGCGUAUGUUGUAUAUUUUUCUCUGGAUUAUACUUCAUUGUUGUAGAACAUAAGAAAAGGGUUAAAGGAUAGAAGUAAAAAACCUAUCUUCACUUAGAAUCGAUAUUUUAAAAAUUUGAAACCUAAGAUUUUUUAAAUAUUUGUGAAUUUAUAAUAUUUAACUUUGUCAAGUAAUGAAUGUUAUAACCUCGCAAUAGAGAUCCUGAAACAUAGAUAAUAAUAUAAAAUACUACAUAAAACUCAAAUAAUUAUGUAGACUCUCUAAUAUAUUUUUAAUAUUAUUUCAUGUUCCAUUUCAUUUUCUUCUCUUCUGUUUUAAAAAGUUCGGCUCAUGAAGGACAUGCAUGAUAGCACGACCUUGAACAAUUAAUUGAAGGAUCUUACAGGAGCCAAUGUUAAUCGCAAAAUGCAACCAAUUAUAUCUAUUUUUGGUAUUGUAAUGUGGUAACCAUUAUCUCUUUCCUUCUAACCUUGCUUGGUUGAUGAUGUGAUAAGGAUAAAUAUAUCUAUCUACAUUUAUGCAACUUUUCUCAUUAGAACCAAUUACUAUUCUAUGCAUUUAGUUUCUUGUACUCAUUAUGAAUAUAUUAUGUUCUAUCUUCAAAUCUCAUAUCUAUUGGUGGCUGCCUAAUAGUCAGUGCUGAACAAUGUAGUUAAUAUUGUUAUGAAUUCUUUAAGGUUAUGAAGUUUUUUUUUUUUUCAAGUUGAAAUUUAGAGCCUCGAAGAUUAUAGGGGUUCUAUAAAAAAUGUUAUGUGAGACUUGAAGCUGCAAACUAACGAUAUACCCAACCCAAUGCUCAGUUCCUCCCUUUGCUUUGCUUAUGAAUCUUAGGCUCUGCUCUUCAUAGAAGAGUCUAAUUGUGUAUUCUUGAUUCGAAUUCUGCUUUGAUUUGAUUCAGCGAAAUUUGACAAAGGGGUGAGGCUUAAAAAGUGGAUAGAUGGAAAAUAGGUAAACAACAAGUAAUAAAAAGGUUGGCUCUGUUCAAUACCACUUGUAGGACAAGGAAUGGAUCAAACCUGUUUGCACAUUCACAGUAACUUCUCACAUUUAUAAAGUAAUCAUCAGUUCAUAUAAUUCAAAUACAAAGUUUAAAUUAUCAUCCUACAACGUGGAACAAGUAGAAUUCAUACAUAAAACUAAGGGUCUGUUUGGGAGUGCUGUUAAAAAUUGCUGUGCUGUCAGAAAAAGUGCUGGUAAAAUAAGUGCUGUUGUAGAAAUCAGAUAACUGUUUGGUAAUUUUUUGAUAUUUACUUAUUUUGAAUUAUAAUAUAAAAAAUAAUAAUGUUUUUGGUGAAGUUUUAUAAUAAAAUCUAUAACAGCAUUCUGCAAAAACUGAAAAGCAGCUUUUUCCAAAAGCAUGGGAGGACCUGCUUUUUCUAACAACAGCUUUUCAGCUAAAAGCUGCUGUUCGGAAAAGCUGAUUUUAGAUUUACCAAACAGUUUUUCACCUGCUUUUUAGCAAAAAGCUGCUGUUGCUGUCUGCAACAGCAACCCCAAACAGUACCUAAUUCUAGUAAAUAUCGUUUUCCUAAUAGAUGAUUAUUGUAUAUCCAAUUCUAAAAUUUAUCUAAUUAUAUAGAAAUAUUAAACUAAUGAAUGCUUCUGUAUAUAAAUAGUAAUAUAAAAAAUUUAACUAAUUUAAUCAUUUAUCGUUCUGCUAUAUUUUCCCUUAAGACAAGUAGUUAGUAUGUUAUUUGUCACCGGAAAUAUUAUUUCCUCCAGUGUAUUUGAUUGUGUUUUUAUAUGCUGGCAGACAUUUGUAGCAUUUCCUUAUCAUGGAUCACAUAUUUACAAUUUUUUGUUAUAUUAUGUCCUUCGCUCUCAUUUUGUUAGUACGAAUAUAAUGUGUCUUAGGUUUGAUAUUCAUUUUGGUGUGAGAACUUGUUAAUCAAAUGAAAUGCACAUCCAGAUUCUAAAAUUUAUCUAAUUAUAUACAUGAUUUGUAGUAGUGAUUUCAAAUUCCCAAGUUUAUACUAGUUAUAUAAAAAUCCAAGACAACUAAAAAACUUGUAUAAACUUGAGAAUUUGGAAUUACAACUCAAAUCAUGUCAUGUGAAAUGAAUUACACGUUACCCGGCAAUAUCUUAAAUUAUUUUGAUUAUAUCAAUCAAUUUAAUAUAAAAUUAAACAGUAUGCAGAAGGUAUGUUCUUCAACUUCUAUUUGUUAUUAUUAUAUAAUCAAGAACAUGUGUUUAAUUAGAGACAAAUCAUUGAUGUAUCCAAUAAAGUUUCCCUGUUUAUUUUUGGUAAAGGUUAGUUACGGAAAUUGAAAUACUCGUUCAGACAGACACGUGCGCGUGACCUUCUGUUAUUCUGUUACCAAGAGAAGAGAGAGAUACAUUAGGCUACAAUGCUAGGGAUAAACUUCCCAAUUAAUAUAACAGGGUAAUAAUCGUUUAUAUAUUUUUCCUAAAUCAUACAUUAGUUUGACAUGAUCAAUGACGAUUUUUUUUUUUGGUCUUGCUGCUAUUUCCAAAUAAGUAAUUUCAACUUUUUUACAUGAUCAGUGUUAAUUUUGUGAUUGAUUUCUCUGCGUAAGUUUCAUGUUUUAUUCUGUUUAUCAUUUAUAUGUCUGUAAUUUAUUUGUAAGUGUAUAUUUGAUAUUUUACAACUUGUGCGCCUCUCUCCUUCAGUAAUACUGGUGUGAGUAUUUCUUUCUUUGUUUCCACUGAAUGUUCAUUCAUCUCUUCAUUGAAAUGCCCACCAUAAGGCCCAAUUUUUAUCUUUUAGUUUGUAAUUUAUCAUCAUGUACCAGAAUGAAAUUAAACCGUGGUAUAAAUAGAUGGAAAAUAUGUUCUCUAAAUAUUUGUGAUAUUACAAAUUACAUUUUCUGUGGAACGCAAUAUCAUCAGAAAAUACUUAUUUGAAUCUAAUUAUAUCAACUAUCAAGUGGUUGAUUUUUUAUAGUGAGCAUUGUUAUGACUUAUGGGGGACUAUUAUGCGGAAUUGGCGACUUAAAAUUAUUUAUAGUAUUUUGUGAAGCAGGUUCUUCCAGGUUUGCACCCAUAACAUGCACGUAAAAGAACAUAAAAUCAUAAAUUAUGCAAAAUUUCUCGUGUCCCUGUUCAUUUGUCACUCUUGACUUUUUGCAUGUAUUGUGAGGUGCAUAAAAAUGAUAGUUUCACGAAUUAUUCUCUUAAUUUUCUUAUCUGGGUAAACACGUAGUAUAAACCUUUAUUUUAGGAAAAAAAAAUUCAAAAAAAUAGGUUGUGUAAUUAUGCUUUAAUUCACCUUACAAAACUUGCAAAAAGUCAUAAUGACAUAAAAGGAUUGAGGGAGUACCAAAUAGGGUAGACAUUGAUUUGAGCUUGAUGAAUGUUGGAUCCAUAAGGGCGCUCUGCUUUGACUUCUUCUAGACUGCAUUUUGUUGCUUAGCCAAAUGGUUAAAGGCUUGAGGGAUUGGUAUUUUUGUGUGAUCACUAUCCUGGCAUAAGCGAUGACCAUUGACGUAUGCCAAUUUUGAAACUGAAUAGAACAGAGUUGUAGAUGACGUAGAAGGUCAUUCCGUGGUGUUUCUCUUGAUACCUAGAUUGAUUUACUUGCUAUUAUGGAAUCACAAAGUAUGUUGGUGUGAAGGUAUGUCAAUAAUUGUGUUUUUGUAAAUGUCUUGUAUUUAUGGGAUGACUUGUAGUUGGUGUAAAGGUACUUGUUGGUCAGGUGCUCUGGGUAAACUUAUUCAUUGUAAUAAUUUUAUACUUCAUAUUAUAUCGGCAGUAUAUAUGUUUUAACUAUUUUUUUCUA